rnacentral:rRNA from 1 species
AUUGAACGCUGGCGGCAGGCCUAACACAUGCAAGUCGAGCGGAUGAAGGGGGCUUGCUCCUGGAUUCAGCGGCGGACGGGUGAGUAAUGCCUAGGAAUCUGCCUGGUAGUGGGGGAUAACGUCCGGAAACGGGCGCUAAUACCGCAUACGUCCUGAGGGAGAAAGUGGGGGAUCUUCGGACCUCACGCUAUCAGAUGAGCCUAGGUCGGAUUAGCUAGUUGGUGGGGUAAAGGCCUACCAAGGCGACGAUCCGUAACUGGUCUGAGAGGAUGAUCAGUCACACUGGAACUGAGACACGGUCCAGACUCCUACGGGAGGCAGCAGUGGGGAAUAUUGGACAAUGGGCGAAAGCCUGAUCCAGCCAUGCCGCGUGUGUGAAGAAGGUCUUCGGAUUGUAAAGCACUUUAAGUUGGGAGGAAGGGCAGUAAGUUAAUACCUUGCUGUUUUGACGGUACCAACAGAAUAAGCCCCGGCUAACUUCGUG